CGGGGCAUAGCUCAGCUGGGAGAGCACCUGCUUUGCAAGCAGGAGGUCAUCGGUUCGAUCCCGUUUGCCUCCA
rnacentral:tRNA from 1 species